UACAGAGGGGGCAAGCGUUAUUCGGAAUUAUUGGGCGUAAAGCGCUUGUAGGCGGCUUGUUAAGUUCCGUGUGAAAUCCCCAGGCUUAACCUGGGAAGUGCGCGGAAAACUGGCGAGCUUGAGUGCCGGAGAGGGUCGCGGGAAUUCCCGGUGUAGAGGUGAAAUUCGUAGAUAUCGGGAGGAACACCAGUGGCGAAGGCGGCGACCUGGACGGACACUGACGCUGAGACGCGAAAGCGUGGGGAGCAAACAGG
rnacentral:rRNA from 1 species